GAUAGUCCCGUAGGCGAAAAUUCAAAUAUAGAACUAAGAUUGAGAUAAGUAGGGCGGGACACGUGAAAUCCUGUUUGAAGAUAGGGGGACCAUCCUCUAAGGCUAAAUACUCGUAAUCGACCGAUAGUGAACCAGUACCGUGAGGGAAAGGCGAAAAGAACCCCGGAAGGGGAGUGAAAUAGAUCCUGAAACCGCAUGCAUACAAACAGUGGGAGCCCGCAAGGGUGACUGCGUACCUUUUGUAUAAUGGGUCAGCGACUUACAUUCAGUAGCAAGCUUAACCGAAUAGGGGAGGCGCAGCGAAAGCGAGUCUUAAUAGGGCGAUAGUUGCUGGGUGUAGACCGAAACCAGAUGAUCUACUCAUGGCCAGGAUGAAGCGAGGGUAACACCUCGUGGAGGUCCGAACCCACUAAUGUUGAAAAAUUAGGGGAUGAGCUG
rnacentral:rRNA from 1 species